rnacentral:rRNA from 1 species
CGCUGGCGGUAUGCUUAACACAUGCAAGUCGAACGGAAGUCUUCGGACUUUAGUGGCGGACGGGUGAGUAACGCGUGAGAAUCUGGCUUUAGGUCGGGGACAACAGUUGGAAACGACUGCUAAUACCGGAUAUGCCGAGAGGUGAAAGAUUAAUUGCCUGAAGAAGAGCUCGCGUCUGAUUAGCUAGUUGGUGGGGUAAGAGCUUACCAAGGCGACGAUCAGUAGCUGGUCUGAGAGGACGAUCAGCCACACUGGGACUGAGACACGGCCCAGACUCCUACGGGAGGCAGCAGAGGGGAAUUUUCCGCAAUGGGCGAAAGCCUGACGGAGCAAUACCGCGUGAGGGAGGAAGGCUCUUGGGUUGUAAACCUCUUUUCUUAGGGAAGAAAAAAAUGACGGUACCUAAGGAAUCAGCAUCGGCUAACUCCGUGCCAGCAGCCGCGGUAAUACGGAGGAUGCAAGCGUUAUCCGGAAUGAUUGGGCGUAAAGCGUCCGCAGGUGGCAUUUCAAGUCUGCGGUCAAAGGUCGAGGCUCAACCUCGAACAGGCCGUGGAAACUGAAAAGCUAUAGUGU